rnacentral:rRNA from 1 species
GAUGAACGCUGGCGGCGUGCCUAAUACAUGCAAGUCGAGCGAACAGACGAGGAGCUUGCUCCUCUGACGUUAGCGGCGGACGGGUGAGUAACACGUGGAUAACCUACCUAUAAGACUGGGAUAACUUCGGGAAACCGGAGCUAAUACCGGAUAAUAUAUUGAACCGCAUGGUUCAAUAGUGAAAGACGGUUUUGCUUUCACUUAUAGAUUGAUCCGCGCCGCAUUAGCUAGUUGGUAAGGUAACGGCUUACCAAGGCAACGAUGCGUAGCCGACCUGAGAGGGUGAUCGGCCACACUGGAACUGAGACACGGUACAGACUCCUACGGGAGGCAGCAGUAGGGAAUCUUCCGCAAUGGGCGAAAGCCUGACGGAGCAACGCCGCGUGAGUGAUGAAGGUCUUCGGAUCGUAAAACUCUGUUAUUAGGGAAGAACAAAUGUGUAAGUAACUAUGCACGUCUUGACGGUACCUAAUCAGAAAGCCACGGCUAACUACGUG